rnacentral:rRNA from 1 species
ACUACGGGAGGCUGCAGUGGGGAAUAUUGCGCAAUGGGCGAAAGCCUGACGCAGCGACGCCGCGUGAGGGCUGAAGGUCUUCGGAUCGUAAACCUCUGUCAGCAGGGAAGAACGGUCACUGUGCUAAUCAGCAGUGAAUUGACGGUACCUGCAAAGGAAGCACCGGCUAACUCCGUGCCAGCAGCCGCGGUAAUACGGAGGGUGCGAGCGUUAGUCGGAAUUACUGGGCGUAAAGCGCUCGUAUGCGGUAUGUCAAGUCAAGGGUGAAAUCCCCGCGCUCAACGUGGGAACUGCCUUUGAAACUGGCAAACUGGAGUGUGUGAGAGGAUAGUGGAAGUCCAGGUGUAGGAGUGAAAUCCGUAGAUAUCUGGAGGAACAUCAGUGGCGAAGGCGACUAUCUGGCACAUAACUGACGCUGAGGAGCGAAAGCGUGGGUAGCAAACAGGAUUAGAUACCCCUGUAGUC